GCAUAUGGAGGUUCCCAGGCUAGGGGUCCAAUCGGAGCUGUAGCUGCUGGCCUAUGCCACAGCCACAGCAACACAGGAUCUGAGCUAUGUCUGCGACCUACACCACAGCUCAUGGCAACACUGGAUCCUUAACCCAUUGAGCAAGGCCACAGGUCGAACCUGUGUCCUCAUGGGUACCAGUCGGGUUCAUUACUGCUGAGCCACGAUGGGAACUCCUAAAUCAACAGCCUCUGGACUCAAGACUACAAGCUCAACUCCUGAUGAAAUUUCCCGGCCUGCCUUGUGGACCUCAGACGUGCCAGCCCCACAAUCAUGUGAGGCAAUUCCUUAACAUAAAUCUCUCCCUCUUCCUCUAUGUCUCUAUAUAAGAUAAACACAUACUCACAACACCUCUCUGCAGAGAGAGUACAUAUAGACGUGUAUGCACAUAUUGUGUGUGUACACGUAUCUCUUUCUCUCUGGAGAGUUCUAACACACCCACGUGGUGUGUUUGCUGAGUCCAGUGGCUGAGAGCACAGUCUCUGGAGCUGCCCGUCUGGGACUGGAUUCUGACCCUGUUACUUAUUCACUGUGGGAUUGGCCAAAUGAAUUCCUUUUCCUGGGUCUCAGUUUUCCCAUCUGUAAAGGGGGUAACGGCAGGCCCCAGCUUGGGUGUAGGGAGGUGCCUGGCUCGGGGGCCGGCACGGGGCAGUCCCAGGCCCACAGUCCCCCUCUCCCUGGCCACAUCUGCAGGGCCGUGUGUCUCACCGGCUGCCGGAGGCGGGGCUCUCGGUGGCGGCGGCGAGGGCGGCCAGGCCGGGGGCUAUACCGCUGUACACACCGUGCUGACUGUGAACUCCGCCUCGGUGGCCAUGAUGUCUGUGGGCUGGAUGUUGCGGUCAUACAUCGGGUUCUCAAACGUGGCUCGAACAUUCGUGUUCUCGUGGCCGGCGUAGCCAUUGAACGGAACUUUGGGUCUUCUCCUGGGAAGGGGAGCGCAGCGUGACCAAGACGGGAAAAGAGGAGACUCGGGGAUCUCGGGGCCGGGGGGGGGGGGCGCGGGGAGGGCAAGGAGGCUCUGUCCUCCCUUCAGGAGGUCACAGCCCGCCUGGGUCAGGAAGCCUCUGGGCAGGUCAGGGUCAGGGUCAGGGUCAGGGAGAGACCUUCCUGCCCCCGCCCCGGGGCGCGUCCCUUCCCUGUACCUGUGCUUGUACAGAUAGAGCACGAAGCCCGCGAUGAUGAGCGCGAUGAAAGGCACCAGGAUCGCGGCUGCCACUGAGCUGCUGUUGGAAGCAAAGUGGCGGCCGAUGGACUCGGGGUCUGACUCCAGCAGCCUGAGGUCUGCAAAGUCCGAGAACAGAACCUCAGGUCACAGACACAGUGGCCACUGCCACGAGGGGCGCUGUGGCUUGGGAUGCUGCCCAGAGCCCACCCCUGCCUUCCACCCGACCCCCCACCCCAGGGACCUCCUCCUGGAGGAAGGUCCCACAAGGGCAGGUCAGGCCUGGGGAAGCCAGUCUGCGGGGGAUCUGGAAACUGCAUCGCAGAAUAAAAUCUUAAAAGAGUGCAGCCUUCUAGAAGUUUCCAAACUUCUUUUGGCCAUGGAAGUCUUUUAUCACAUGAAGCCUUCCAAGGAAGCCAAACUAGAAAACAGAGGAAGGUGUUCUGCUCUGGGGUGUGGGAGAGGCGGUGGAGGGGAUGCUGAAGUUUCUGCCCUGGAGGGUCUCCCUCCUCCUCCUCCCCGCCCCUCCCGCACUCACUGGGAGGGCUCUGAAGACCCCAGUGGGAACCACUGCCCCUGUGAAGUGCCCCACUGAGCUCAGGGGCUGAGGCCACCAGACGGGAGAGGGGACGGGUCUGCCCAGGGGGGUGAGGGGUCAGCCGUGAAGCCAAAACAAGAACCUGGUCUCCUGAGGUUUCUGCAGUGUGUAAGACUGAGGGGCCAGAGGAACUGCCUUCCAGUAUGUGUGGAAGAGAGCAAACCCUCACUCCCAGCAGCUCAAGAGGACAGAGCAGGGAACAACUCCAGGGGACAAGCAGGGCAGAGUGGGAACCACAGGGAAGCAGAUUUCCGCUUAAGGCAAGGAGAAGCUUUCAGAAGGUCAGAUCUUUGAGAAAAUGCAAUGCACUGCCUGGGCAGGUGGGGUGGGGUGGGUGGGUGAGGGGCACCC
rnacentral:lncRNA from 1 species